CGCGACGGCGAGCAAUCGCCAGCGUGACUGAUCAGGAAUCAGCAGAGGCCAUAGUAGCGACACCGAAAGGUAACGCGAAGGGC
rfam:Candidatus Accumulibacter phosphatis clade IIA str. TW-1, complete genome.